rnacentral:rRNA from 1 species
GACGGAAGGUGCAAGCGUUGCUCGGAAUCACUGGGCGUAAAGGGUGCGUAGGCGGCCGUGCAAGUCUGGCGUGAAAGCCCCGGGCUCAGCCCGGGAAGUGCGCUCGAAACUGCGCGGCUCGAGUGCCGGAGGGGAGAGUGGAAUUCCUGGUGUAGCGGUGAAAUGCGUAGAUAUCAGGAGGAAUACCGGUGGCGAAGGCGACUCUCUGGACGGCAACUGACGCUGAGGCGCGAAAGCGUGGGGAGCAAACAGG